rnacentral:rRNA from 1 species
UACAGAGGGGGCAAGCGUUAUUCGGAAUUAUUGGGCGUAAAGGGCGCGUAGGCGGCCUGGCAAGUGGAAGGUGAAAUCCCUCGGCUUAACCGAGGAACUGCCCUCCAAACUGCUUGGCUUGAGUCCGGGAGAGGUGAGUGGAAUUCCCAGUGUAGCGGUGAAAUGCGUAGAUAUUGGGAGGAACACCAGUGGCGAAGGCGGCUCACUGGACCGGAACUGACGCUGAGGCGCGAAAGCUAGGGGAGCAAACGGG